ACGACGACGACGGACGCGACUAACGACGCGCGCGCGCAAAACAGUCGUGCUUUCGCGCAAUGUGAUACGCUCCCGUUAUCCGAAGACGAACGCGCACGAUUACCUAUCGGUAGCGCUAAACAAUCACGAGGUCUUGCCAGAUAACCCAAGUCGUGCAUAAUCUAUCGUACCGGGUCUACUCUUUGAUCGUUUUUCUCCUACAUUUCUUAAGAGAAACUAACGACGAAUGAAUAGCGUUACGUAAUUAAUUCGAGACGUACAUGUUAUUACGGCUGAACCGAAAAAUGCAAGGAAAACUCGUUCAAAUGUGGAUUCGUCACGUAAUCUUUUUUUUACUUUCAAUUGCAUCCAUCUUCUAAAGGAACCGUUUAUUAAUUAUGGUCAAGGUCGGAGAGGCAAGAUGUUAUUAAUAAAUAUAUAAUAUCAGAGAAAAUAUGAGAAACGAAUGAACCAAUAAAUGUAUGUAUAUAUAUACUCAUAUAUAUAUAUACAUAUAUAUAUUGUAUAUAGUACAUAUAUAUAUAUGCUCUAUUGUGAAAGAUUAAUGAGAGACAACUAUAAGAAUAUCCAUUAAAGUAAACAAUUCUUUAGCAAGCAAAACUAAUCGUGAUAUCUAGUUACGAUGAGCCACGUAAUGGAAUAAUUUGUAUUUGUGUCGCAGCAGCAAGCGUACGAUCGAAAUUUAAGGUGGGAUUCUCAAUGCUACGAUGAUAACCACAUAAAACGGAUAGUUUAUUUUUAGGCUCGACUGACCAUCGAUUCACAAACGUUUCCUAUCGUGAAAAAAGAAUGAGAGAAAAAGAAAAAGAGAAAGAGAGAGAGAGAGAGAGAGAAAGAGAGAGAGACGUUCUUUCUUUUCCCGCCACAAAAAUAAUAUAAGAAUAUUCACAUUUUUUCGAGAAAGAUCUUCAACUUCGCAUUGCUCUCUUCCUCUCUCCCUCUCCUAUAUAGAACGACCUUUCGUAUUUGGCGCGUCUUUAAAAGAGUCAAUAAGGCGUAAUAUCGAUCGUUGGCAAUAUUGUUAUAUUUUCAGAUCGUGAAUAAUAAUAAUUAUAAUAAUGAAUCUAUUUGUACAUAUGAUAAAAAAAAAAAAAAAAAAAAAAACAUUUACAAAGAUAAAAUUAACUUUCUUAUCAUUCUUAUAUCCAAAAGCAAUAUAAAAAAAAAAAUUAAAAGAAAAAACAAAUAAAAAUAAUGACUAUUCAAAUAAAUAUUAAUAGAUUGAUACUUUGUACACACCAACCGAUGAGACAUAAUCGAACAGGCAAAAGUUAUUUCGAAAAGAAUUAGAAGAAUUGAUAACGAUCGUAUUAACCCGAUUAUAGAAUUACGAAUGGUACCGAAGAAAGAUACGCGAUAAGUUCAACGAAGAAGAAAAAUUCUUCCGUCUUUCUCUCUCUCUCUCUCUCUCUCUCUCUCUCUCUCUGUUUUUUUCCCCCAGAAAAUCAUACGAGACGCACGGAAUCGACCUCGAAGCGAGUCGGCGCGGCGUUCGGCGGUGGUUCAGAAGCGUAGGCUCAAAGCAUCGGCCCCGCGCGCGAGCGUGCCGCUUCCACGUGACGUACACGACGGCAGUGGCGGUGGCGGCAGCGGGCGCACCGACGCGACGCUAAGCGCUACCUUCGCCUCCCUCUCGUGCCAGAGUUCACAAUCAAGUAUGAACAAUUUGGAGGAAGGCGCGACGAACGUAUACAAGAAAAAGAGAAAGAAA